rnacentral:rRNA from 1 species
CCUACGGGUGGCAGCAGUGGGGAAUAUUGCACAAUGGGGGAAACCCUGAUGCAGCGACGCCGCGUGAGUGAAGAAGUAAUUCGUUACGUAAAGCUCUAUCAGCAGGGAAGAAAUACUGACCUUACGGUCAGCAGACGGUACCUGAGUAAGAAGCCCCGGCUAAAUACGUGCCAGCAGCCGCGGUAAUAAGUAGGGGGCAAGCGUUAUCCGGAGUUACUGGGGGUAAAGGGGGCGUAGACGGUGCGCCAAGUCUGGAGGGAAAUGCGGCAGCUUAACUGCGGAACUGCUUUGGAAACUGGCGAACUAGAGUGCGGGAGUGGUAAGCGGAAUUCGUGGUGUAGCGGUGAAAUGCGUAGAUAUUAGGAGGAACACCGGUGGCGAAGGCGGCUUACUGGACCGUAACUGACGUUGAGGCUCGAAAGCGUGGGGAGCGAACAGGAUUAGAUACCCGAGUAGUC